AUAGCCUAACGGCUGAACCAGCAACUUGGAGGAAUGUAUAGCAAUAGCUAGUUGCCUCAAUGUUUAAAUAAUUGAUGCGAUAUCGACUAUGUCGAAUAAAAUUCUAGGUAGAAUUAUGAUAAUGACAUUGUCUGCCUAUGUGUCUUGACCAAAUUACGUGCCAGCAGUCGCGGUAAUACGUAGAAGACUAGUGUUAUUCAUCUUUAAUAGGUUUAAAGGGUACCUAGACGGUAUAUCAAGCCUGCAACACGGGACUAAUGUACUAGAGUUACUUACGAGGGGGUAUUAAAGUACUGCUGGUGUAGAGAUGAAAUUCUGUCAUACCUCAUUUCGUAAGAAAUACUACGGCACAGGUAUAGGCGAAAGCAUCCCCUUAUGUGAUAACUGACGUUGAAGGACGAAGGCUUUGUGUAGCGAACAGGAUUAGAUACCCCAAUAGUCAAAGCAGAAAAUGAUGAAUGUCAUAGAUUAGACACUUAAUAGUUUAUUCUAUAAAUGAAAGUGUAAGCAUUCCACCUCAAGAGUAAUUUGGCAACAUUGGAACUGAAAUCAUUAGACCGUUUCUGAAACCAGUAGUGAAGUAUGUUGUUUAAUUUGAUAAUCCGCAAAAAACCUUACCACAAUUUGAAUAUUUAGAUUUUCAUUUUCUUUUUUUUUUGCGCUGUUUUGUUUAGAUUUUCUCCUUAUAGGGAAAUUAUGAAAAGAGCAGCAUUAAAAGUAAAAUUAACAAGAAGGGAAGAGAAAUCUAUUUACAAGCGUUGCACGGCUGUCUUCAGUUAAUGUCGUGAGAUUCUGGUUAGUUCCAUUAAUUAACGUAAACCCUUACUUUAUUUUUAUAUAGAGUUGUUCCCCGCUAGAUUGGAUAAGAUAACAGGGACUAAGACAAGUCAUCAUGGCCUAAAUAUUGUGGGCUAUAGACGUGCCACAUAAACCUUACAAAAGGAUGUGAAAUUGUGAAAUUGAGCUAAUCCCCC
rnacentral:rRNA from 1 species